rnacentral:lncRNA from 1 species
GAUUCAAUUGGUUCCACCACGAUAACAAAUAAAUAAAGUAAAAACAAAAAAACAAGAUAUAGUUAAACCAACUGUAAUUCAAUCGGUCGGUUAGUCUCUUGUUCAUUCCAAUGAAUUAGAAUGAAAUCAACAUGCGAACUGACCUGUCUUGGUUCAAUCGCUUGAAUCGACUAAUGCAACUAGUUUUUUUUUUUUGAGAUGGAAUUGGAACAAUACAAGAAGAAGAAGAACCACAACAUUUACACUGUGUUUGUUUGAGGUGAAAAAGGGGAGAGAGGAGUUGGAGAGAAAGAAGUUGGAGAGAGAUGUCAAACUUCUUCUGUUUGGUUUGGAAAGAAAUUUGGGAGAGAGACUGCUUUAAUAUGGGGCCCACCGCCUUUUUGUUUCUGUGCUAA